AAGCGAUUAACUCAAUUGGUAGAGUAUCUCGCUUACAACGAGGAAGUUAGUGGUUCGAGUCCGCUAUCGCUUA
rnacentral:tRNA from 1 species